GCACCACAGAAAAAAAACUUAGCACCACGGGAGGUAGCUUCCCUCCAAUUGGUCCAACUGAUGUGUAUAGGGGUCUAAAGCAAUCUAUUGGGGUCUAACAUGGUUUGUUAUGCUCAUUAGUCCACAGGCACAUAUGGUCAAAUCUACACAAGUCCUGGGGUCUUUUGGUGUAUAUAUCAUUUAAGAAAAAUAUAAGCACCACAGAAAAAAAACUUAGCACCACGGGAGGUAGCUUCCCUCCAAUUGGUCCAACUAACGUGUAUAGGGGUCUAAAGCACUCUAUUGGGGUCUAAGAUGGUUUGUUAAGCUCAUUAGUCCACAGGCACAUAUGGUCCAAUCUACACAAGUCCUGGGUCUUUUGGUGUAUAUAUCAUUUAAGAAAAAUAUAAGCACCACAGAAAAAAAAACUUAGCACCACGGGAGGUAGCUUCCCUCCAAUUGGUCCAACUAACGUGUAUAGGGGUCUAAAGCACUCUAUUGGGGUCUAAGAUGGUUUGUUAAGCUCAUUAGUCCACAGGCACAUAUGGUCCAAUCUACACAAGUCCUGGGGUCUUUUGGUGUAUAUAUCAUUUAAGAAAAAUAUAAGCACCACCAGAAAAAAACUUAGCACCACGGGAGGUAGCUUCCCUCCAAUUGGUCCAACUAAUGUGUAUAGGGG
rnacentral:lncRNA from 1 species